GGGGAACUGAAACAUCUAAGUACCCCGAGGAAAAGAAAUCAACCGAGAUUCCCCCAGUAGCGGCGAGCGAACGGGGAGCAGCCCAGAGUCUGAAUCAGCUUGUGUGUUAGUGGAACGGUCUGGAAAGUCCGACGGUACAGGGUGAUAGUCCCGUACACCAAAAUGCACAGGUUGUGAACUCGAAGAGUAGGGCGGGACACGUGGUAUCCUGUCUGAAUAUGGGGGGACCAUCCUCCAAGGCUAAAUACUCCUGACUGACCGAUAGUGAACCAGUACCGUGAGGGAAAGGCGAAAAGAACCCCGGCGAGGGGAGUGAAAAAGAACCUGAAACCGUGUACGUACAAGCAGUGGGAGCCUCUUUAUGGGGUGACUGCGUACCUUUUGUAUAAUGGGUCAGCGACUUAUAUUCUGUAGCAAGGUUAACCGUAUAGGGGAGCCGAAGGGAAACCGAGUCUUAACUGGGCGUUAAGUUGCAGGGUAUAGACCCGAAACCCGGUGAUCUAGCCAUGGGCAGGUUGAAGGUUGGGUAACACUAACUGGAGGACCGAACCGACUAAUGUUGAAAAAUUAGCGGAUGACUUGUGGCUGGGGGUGAAAGGCCAAUCAAACCGGGAGAUAGCUGGUUCUCCCCGAAAGCU
rnacentral:rRNA from 1 species